GAUGAACGCUAGCGGCAGGCAUAAUACAUGCAAGUUGAACGGGAUCUACCAGCAAUGGUGGUGAGAGUGGCGCACGGGUGCGUAACACGUAUGCAACCUGCCUCAAACCGGGGAAUAGCCCGUGGAAACAUGGAUUAAUACCCCAUAAGAUAGUGAAUAGGCAUCUAUUAGCUAUUAAAACUCCGGUGGUUUGAGAUGGG
rnacentral:rRNA from 1 species